rnacentral:rRNA from 1 species
GACGAACGCUGGCGGCGUGCUUAACACAUGCAAGUCGAACGGAAAGGCCUGCUUUCCCUUGUGGAUUGCGGGUACUCGAGUGGCGAACGGGUGAGUAACACGUGAGUGAUCUGCCCCCAACUUGGGUAUAAGCCUGGGAAACUGGGUCUAAUUCCCGAUAGGACUGCAGGGUGGUGCCUGUGGUGGAAAACGAUUUUCUAGUGGUUGGGGAUGAGCUCGCGGCCUAUCAGCUUGUUGGUGGGGUAAUGGCCUACCAAGGCGGCGACGGGUAGCCGGCCUGAGAGGGUGGACGGCCACAUUGGGACUGAGAUACGGCCCAGACUCCUACUGGAGGCAGCAUUGGGGAAUAGUGCACAAUGGGCGGAAGCCUGAUGCAGCGACGCCGCGUGGGGGAUGACGGCCUUCGGGUUGUAAACUCCUUUCGACCGCGAGGAAGCCACCUGGUUGGAAGGGUGGUGACGUUAGUGGUAGAAGAAGCACCGGCUAACUACGUG